rnacentral:miRNA from 1 species
AACGCCAUUAUCACACUAUAUA